CCGGCACGGGUGGAGGUAACACGUAUCCAACCCGCCGUCUACUCUUGGACAGCCUUCUGAAAAGGAGAAUUAAAUAAAAGAUGGCAUCAUGAGUCCGCAUGUUCACAUGAUUAAAGGUAUUCCGGUAGACGAUGGGGAUGCGUUCCAUUAGAUAGUAGGCGGGGUAACGGCCCACCUAGUCUUCGAUGGAUAGGGGUUCUGAGAGGAAGGUCCCCCACAUUGGAACUGAGACACGGUCCAA
rnacentral:rRNA from 1 species